CCACCCCACUUUUUGGCGUAUCACUCUCUCUCGCUCUAUCUUGGACAUUCGACGGCUGGCGAGGCGCGCGCGUGAAAAUAUAUCCUGGCCGUCUGGCGGUAGCGCCGAAGCAUUCAGUCAAUUAGCCGUAAUGGCACGACCUGCCGCGUCGGUCUCGGCCAAUUAAGUGGUGAUUAGUGCGCGGAGCGGAACUCUACCAUCGCUCGUAUCUCUCUUGCGCGCCACGGCAUGUGUCUGUGUGCUCGUGUGCCACGAUAGAUCGCGAGACCUGUGUGUUUGUCGUGCACGAAGGUGCAUCUGCUCGCCAGUUACGAGGGAAGUGCGGUGUGAACAGCAAGCAACUCUUCGGCUCUUCGCGAAGCGAGAUCCACGGUGCUUGGACUAGGACUUUCCUUCCGCUGCUUGUCGUUUUCGGAGUUUGGAGCUCGUGCACCGCGACGAGGACUUUUUCGCGUAAUCGACGAACCGUGUGCGAGAUCCUGUGUUUGUGUGUACCGGCGCGCACGGUAGCGGGAUCCACUCGAGGCUGUAAAUCACGCGUCGACGGCGGACGGGAGCAGCGGGAGUAUGCGCGAUGAAUGAUGAUACCGCGCGAGUAGCGUUGCCGCGCGUUCCGAACCAUUUGGAUAGUGCAGUCGCGACGAUUCGACCGCGAAACAAUCGUUCCAGUGUGGCGUGAAGCAACGAGGGAUUUCAUCAUUCCUAGUGAUUUAUUUUUAACUACCAACGGGGACAGCCCCUCGACUUGGCGAGUAGUGGAGAAAAGUGUGGCGUGAAAUGCCGUGCGCGUUGAUCGUGGAGCCUUGGUAGAUGUAGAAAAAAUGCUUUGCGAUCGAUACGAAGAGAUCACAAAGAAGAGGCGACGCGCCAAAAUUUCGUGGUAGUUUAUAGCAUCGCGUGCAAUUCGCGACGAGUCGUCUACGUGCCGGGAGCAGGAGUUCACCCCCGUCCCUCAAGGCUGACAGAAUGGACUUCCGGGCGCCGCAUCCACUCGUGCAUCCCUCGCACGCGGGACACCCCUACUACUAUCCAGGUAAGCUGAAAACAAAGACUCGCGAGCUUCUUGGUAAGAAUAGCAACGUAAGUUCAUAAGCUUAGCGAUUAAAGGUACAUUGAUCUUUUUGCUCAAAUCACUAUUGAGAGAUUUCGUAGACGGACAGGUCUUCUUUGACGACCAUGAGCAUCAACAAUCAAUCAUCUCGAUGCUUACCAAGAUCUCCUUAAAUGGAAACGAAUCCACGUUUACAUCGACUGCCCAUUCUCGUCGUUUUCAAGGAAGACUUUUGUGUCUACUUAGCAGCAAUCUUUGGUUCUAUAACAAAGAAUCGAGCUGGAAUCAGCCUCGUCUACACGUCGGCUGCGUUUCUACGCGCCUCGUCGCAUAUAAACGUUGACGACUUCUUUGUUCGCGCCC